UAGGGAAUCUUCGGCAAUGGACUAAAGUCUGAUCGAGCAACGCCGCGUGAGUGAAGAAGGUUUUCGGAUCGUAAAACUCUGUUGUUAGAGAAGAACAAGGACGUUAGUAACUGAACGUCCCCUGACGGUAUCUAACCAGAAAGCCACGGCUAACUACGUGCCAGCAGCCGCGGUAAUACGUUGGUGGCAAGCGUUGUCCGGAUGUAUUGGGCGUAAAGCGAGCGCAGGCGGUUUCUUAAGUCUGAUGUGAAAGCCCCCGGCUCAACCGGGGAGGGUCAUUGGAAACUGGGGGACUUGAGUGCAGAAGAGGAGAGUGGAAUUCCAUGUGUAGCGGUGAAAUGCGUAGGUAUAUAGAGGAACACCAGUGGCGAAGGCGGCUCUCUGGUCUGUAACUGACGCUGAGGCUCGAAAGCGUGGGGAGCAAACAGG
rnacentral:rRNA from 1 species